UCUCUUUGCUCUAAAAACAAAGUGAGAGAUCCAAACCCUUUGCUACUAAAUACAUCUGGAUUGCAUCUGCCAUUCUGUAAAUGCUCAUUGCCACGGUACCGGUAGCUACUGCUAACAAAGCAAUUACGGAUCUGACAAAUCGGUGCGACCAGGAUGGAGUGGCAGCCGGAUGAACAGGGUUUGCAGCAGGUACUUCAGCUGCUGAAGGACUCCCAGUCUCCAGACACAGCCACACAGAGAGCUGUGCAGGAAAAACUGGAACAGCUCAACCAGUUCCCAGACUUCAACAACUAUCUCAUCUUCGUCCUUACAAGCCUCAAAUCAGAGGAUGAGCCGACCCGUUCUCUAAGUGGUCUCAUAUUGAAGAACAAUGUGAAGGCCCACUACCAGAACUUUCCUCCUCUGGUCGCUGACUUCAUCAAGAGGGAAUGUCUCAACAACAUCGGAGAUCCCUCACCCCUCAUCAGAGCAACCAUCGGUAAGAGAGAGAGAGUGUGUGUGUGUGUGCUGCAAAGUGAGUCAGGAUGUGUGGGUGGUUGAGCCUUCGCAGGUACUGGUGUCAGUCUGUGGGGGAGUAUGCGUUAAUCAGCAAGCUGAAGUGUGUGUGUGUGUGUAUUCAACUUUCAGUUUCAAGUUUUAAUGUCACAUACAGUGAAAUUCCUUCUUGCAGCUCUAAACCAUCAAUACAGUAAUCAAUAGUAGUACUAAGAAUAACAAGGAAGAACAGAAAUACACAAUAAAUAAUGUUGUGUAUAAAUGUGUGUGUUAGUGUGUGUGUGUGUCUAUUAGUUAGUGUGUGUGUGUGU